CCAAAAGGGAUCCUAGUACGGCGAGUGACCGGGAAGAGCUCAAAUUUGAAAUCUGGCGUGCUCAGUGCGUCCGAGUUGUAAUCUAUAGAGUCGUUUUCCGUGCCGGACUGUGUCCAAGUCCCUUGGAACAGGGUAUCAAAGAGGGUGAUAAUCCCGUACUUGACACAAUGACCGGUGCUCUGUGAUACGUCUUCUACGAGUCGAGUUGUUUGGGAAUGCAGCUCAAAAUGGGUGGUGAGUUCCAUCUAAAGCUAAAUAUUGGCGAGAGACCGAUAGCGAACAAGUACCGUGAGGGAAAGAUGAAAAGCACUUUGGAAAGAGAGUUAAACAGUACGUGAAAUUGUUAAAAGGGAAACGAUUGAAGUCAGUCGUGACUGAGAGGCUCAGCCGGUUCUGCCGGUGUAUUCCCCUCAGUCGGGUCAACAUCAGUUUUGUUCGGUGGAUAAGGGCAGUUGGAAGGUGGCACCCUCGGGUGUGUUAUAGCCAGCUGUCGCAUACAUCGGAUGAGACUGAGGAAUGCAGCUCGCCUUUAUGGCCGGGGUUCGCCCACGUUCGAGCUUAGGAUGUUGACAUAAUGGCUUUAAACGACCCGUCUUGAAC
rnacentral:rRNA from 1 species